GCCUUUAAAACUUAAUMCAACUUUCAMCAACGGWUUUCUUGGCUCUGGCAUCGAUGAAGAACGCAGCGAAAUGCGAUAAGUAAUGUGAAUUGCAGAAUUCAGUGAUUCAUGGAUUCUUUGAACCCCCCUUGCGCUCCUUGGUAUUCCGAGGACCAUCCCUGUUGGAGUGUCAUUAAAUUUUCAA
rnacentral:rRNA from 1 species